AUGGAAGGGCUUCUGCUCGUCCCGAUGAGCAGCAGGGUCGCCGGGCGGCGCGCGGGACCACGGCGAGGACAUGAGGUCGGGACGCGUCGGGAGGUGCGAUGGUGGCGGGGAGGCGACCGGCAGGGCAGGAGGCACAGGCGAGGAUGGUCACGGGCGCGAGGGCUCGGCAACGCUCGGUUCCGAUGGGGUCGCGGCCUCUCUGGAGCGGUGGAUCGGGCGGCGAGGUCCGGCGAUGGGGCGCGCUGGCGAGGGAAGGAGUAG
rnacentral:rRNA from 1 species